UGGAAAGCUGCCCCAAAGAAUGACUUUGCUGAUUUAUUCUAGCAUCUUUGUUUCUAUUGAAAUAUUUUGUUUGACAUUUUUUCUGACAAGAUGGGAAAGGAAGAGGAAGGAGGAAGAGCAAUAAUGAUUUUUAAAAAGCAUCUAGUGUCCCUGGUGGUUGCAACUCUGUGUGGGCUUAGCUUUUCCAGCUGCCUCUGAAUUUCAGUAGCAAAAAUAGCCAUGAACACAGUCUUGGCUGAGUUCCCCAGUGUGGGACUCUUUAAAAGAAAUUUCAUACAUCAUUUACAGCCUGCUGCAGUGAUUGCACGAUGCAGCCCAUCACCUCCGGAGGAGGAGAGCUGAGAGGAGAGGACAAAGAGACCAAGGAUCCCAAAGGCUAUGCCAUGUUCCUCAGCUCAGCCAAACUGCAGUCCUCCUCAGCGUUUCAACACAGUGAUUGACUUGGUUGUCCAAUAAGUAACGGUUGGUUAUUAAAUUUAAAAACAAAAAAAAAACUGCUGACGUGAGUACUUGUUCAGUGCACACUGUGUCUCACCGCCUCUCUCCACUCACUGCUAAAUUCUUCCCCUAGUUCACACUCACGCUUGAAGUUUAGCUCAAUGUGCUUUUGACCACUAUGCAGUAGAGAAAUGGAUGUGCAUAAGGGUUCCCAAACAAAAACCUCUU
rnacentral:lncRNA from 1 species